rnacentral:rRNA from 1 species
UACGUAGGGUGCAGGCGUUAAUCGGAAUUACUGGGCGUAAAGGGCGCGUAGGCGGUCGUGACAAGUCACUUGUGAAAUCUCCGGGCUUAACUCGGAACGGUCAAGUGAUACUGUCGGACUAGAGUACAGAAGGGGCAACUGGAAUUCUCGGUGUAGCGGUGAAAUGCGUAGAUAUCGAGAGGGAACACCUGCGGCGAAGGCGGGGUUGCUGGGCUGA